UGGCAGUCUAUUCCUAAAUGGAACCAUGUAGCGCUUACAUAUGUACAGAUGUGGCAAAGCUUAUGAACACUGAGAUAUAAGACUGGAUUCUUCCAUUCCCUGCUUCUUUCAGGGUGAGCGAUUACAGAAUGAAGGAGAGGACUCAGUUUCAAAUCUUAGUGCCACUUCAUGCUAUAUUGUCAUUAACUUAUUUAUACUCCACCUUUUUGCCUUUGGGACUCAGGGAAACUUAUUGAUUAAAUCAAAUGCAUAAAAUAUCAUCUUGCAUUCUGUAGUUACAGAUUCAUGGCCUGGUGUUAUAGCAACUCACACGAUCAAAACAAGAGCAUCUCCAGAAAAUAUACCCAGGUAGGCUCCUAUGGUCUUUCAGGUACAUCAAGGAUGAGCAAUUGUGGGACACCAGGGGAUCAUAUUGCCCCCCUAGUUGCCCUUGGGAGCCACACCACACCACCUCUGCAAAAAUUCAAAGCCCCAUAGAAAACUGUCAUAUACCACUGGUUCAUCUAACAUAGAUCAGACAAUACAAGCUGGUGACAAGAGGAUUUUCGCUAGAAGUGUUUCCACUCCUGCCUGGUGAAUUUAGGGGCUGAAUCUGGGGUCUUCUAUGAACAAAACAUGUGCUCUCCACUGAGCUAUGAUUCCUCCACUGCCUUAAGCUACUUAAGGCUUUAUAGAUCAUGGCCAGCACUUUGACAUGUGCCUGGAAAUGAAUCAAUACCCAAUGAAGCUACUGUUUGUACGAAUAUUUGGUAUUUAUGCUAUCAGAAUGCAACACGCUAUUGGAAUGAGCUCAUGGCUAAGAACAGGAGCAAUUACUCUGCUUGUUUGCAGGGAACAAAGAGUUUGGACUGAUUUUCAUGAGCCAAACUAAGGUUUGGAAAUUAACCUCAUGCCUUCCUGCCAGCUUCCUCUCCUUCCUUCCCCUUACAAUCCGGUCAGGCAGAUGCAGCAGAAGGAAGAGUAAUGACCUAUGAGAUGCAAUGGGAAGUACUACAUUGCCCUGGCUCUCCGAUAUCCAGCUCAGGAAUGAUCAUGUGCCCAGUGAUCCAUGGGAAAUGGCAUCCUCUCAGGAGAAUUCUCAUAGGUCCUGGUGCUAAUGGUCAAAAGAUAUUGGGCAACUAUUCCAUCUUUCCCCUAGAAAUGGACUUUCUGUGACAAAAAAAAAGAAGAAGAAGAAGGAAGAAAGAGUGAGGAAACAUGGGGUUUCAAGUGGAAGGUGACAAUGACUGGGCCAUUUUGCCCUGCCAAACUUGGUAGCUGGUCAAAGGCUGUUGGCCUCACCAUCACAUCUUAUUGCCCUCAUCCAAGACUCUUUUUUUGCACCCUUGGUAAUGAUCAUCCUCUAUUGCAAGGGCUUUCAAAGGACUGCUCUGCAGAUACAGUCUGUUUGAAGGAGCAUCUACUGUAUUUCCAUUCCAAUGGAGAGAAAAAACUUUAAGAUCCUACAUCAGACAAGUUGAACAUGUGCUGUUCCACUGGGCUUCUAUUUUUGUCCCCUAUGGAAUGCAGAUUCCUAGUUGGAGAUUGUAUUCCCAGGGCCAUUUAGUGUAGGAUUUCCAGGCAGCAUCCAUUGUAAUUCUGCAACUGGAAGAAAAUGGCUGCUGUCACUGUCCUGGAUCUCCAGCCACAACUCUGAAGACCCAGAAGAGGGUUGGCUGCUCUUCCAGCUGGCUGCAGCCAGAUGCUACAUCAGGCACUUGAAACCUUCCACAGAGUAGCACACGCUGCUUUUUGAUGCUUCCCAUAAUGGUAGAAUUCAAAGAUACUGUUGUCUUAAUCUGUAGAAUCAGUAUGUAGAGAGAUCUUGUAGCACCUUUGAGACUAACUAAAAGAAACAAGUUGGCAGCAUGAGCUUUCUCCCAAGAAAACCCCAUGAUAGAUUUGCCUUAGGGUCAACAACAAGAAGAACAUGCAUUUGAGUGCAAAAAAAGUGAUCCUGGGGGCCAAGAGGCCAGAAAUAUGGCCCUGGAGCCACAUGCUCCCCAUAAGCCACACCUUGGGCACCCCUGCCCUAAAGCAUCUCUCCAUUGUAUUAAUGGGACACCAAGCAUUUCAGAAAGUUGUGGGUGUCCUCUCACACUUCCAAUCUCUGAGCCACCUUUGGGAGAAAGGCAGCAUAGAAAUGAAAUAAAUAAUGAAAUAAAUUCCCAGACUUUGCUGAAGUUUUUGAGGAGGAAAAGACAACAUCCCACACUGCACUGACUGCAAAGCACUUUUAUUUUCAGGUUAAAUAUAGGACACA